UACGUAGGGGGCAAGCGUUGUCCGGAAUCAUUGGGCGUAAAGAGCGUGUAGGCGGCCAGAUAAGUCCGCUGUGAAAUCUCGAGGCUCAACUUCGAGCUGUCGGUGGAAACCAUCUGGCUAGAGUCCGGGAGAGGAGAGUGGAAUUCCUGGUGUAGCGGUGAAAUGCGCAGAUAUCAGGAAGAACACCCGUGGCGAAAGCGGCUCUCUGGAACGGUACUGACGCUGAGACGCGAAAGCGUGGGGAGCGAACAGG
rnacentral:rRNA from 1 species